GAUGACGAGUGGCGCACGGGUGCGUAACGCGUAUGCAACCUGCCCCCGAACCGGGGACAAAACGCCGAGAAAUUGGCGCUAAUAUCCCCAUGCUGAUGCGGAGCGGCAUCGCCCUGCAUCGAAAGAUUCAUUGGUCGGGGAUGGGCAUGCGUAACAUUAGCUAGUUGGCGGGGUAAGGGCCCACCAAGGCGACGAUGUUUAGGGGUUCUGAGAGGAAGGUCCCCCACACUGGAACUGAGACACGGUCCAGACUCCUACGGGAGGCAGCAGUAGGGAAUAUUGGGCAAUGGGAGCAAUCCUGACCCAGCCAUGCCGCGUGCAGGAAGACGGCCCUAUGGGUUGUAAACUGCUUUUGCCGGAGAGUAACCGCGGGGACGCGUCCCCGUCUGAGAGUAUCCGGCGAAUAAGCACCGGCUAACUCCGUGCC
rnacentral:rRNA from 1 species